rnacentral:rRNA from 1 species
GAGUUUGAUCAUGGCUCAGGAUGAACGCUGGCGGCGUGCUUAACACAUGCAAGUCGAACGAACCUUCGGGUUAGUGGCGGACGGGUGAGUAACGCGUGAGAAUCUGCCCUCAGGAGGGGGAUAACAGCUGGAAACGGCUGCUAAUACCCCAUAUGCCGCGAGGUGAAAUGAAUUUCGCCUGAGGAUGAGCUCGCGUCUGAUUAGCUAGUUGGUGUAGGUAAUGGCUCACCAAGGCAUCGAUCAGUAGCUGGUCUGAGAGGAUGAUCAGCCACACUGGGACUGAGACACGGCCCAGACUCCUAUGGGAGGCAGCAGUGGGGAAUUUUCCGCAAUGGGCGAAAGCCUGACGGAGCAACGCCGCGUGAGGGAUGAAGGCCCCUGGGCUGUAAACCUCUUUUAUCAAGGAAGAAGAUCUGACGGUACUUGAUGAAUAAGCCACGGCUAAUUCCGUGCCAGCAGCCGCGGUAAUACGGGAGUGGCAAGCGUUAUCCGGAAUUAUUGGGCGUAAAGCGUCCGCAGGCGGCCCUUCAAGUCUGCUGUUAAAAAGUGGAGCUUAACUCCAUCAUGGCAGUGGAAACUGAUGGGCUUGAGUGUGGUAGGGGCAGAGGGAAUUCCCGGUGUAGCGGUGAAAUGCGUAGAUAUCGGGAAGAACACCAGUGGCGAAGGCGCUCUGCUGGGCCAUCACUGACGCUCAUGGACGAAAGCCAGGGGAGCGAAAGGGAUUAGAUACCCCUGUAGUCCUGGCCGUAACGAUGAACACUAGGUGUCGGGGGAAUCGACCCCCUCGGUGUCGUAGCCAACGCGUUAAGUGUUCCGCCUGGGGAGUACGCACGCAAGUGUGAAACUCAAAGGAAUUGACGGGGGCCCGCACAAGCGGUGGAGUAUGUGGUUUAAUUCGAUGCAACGCGAAGAACCUUACCAGGGUUUGACAUCCUGCGAAUCUCUUGGAAACGAGAGAGUGCCUUCGGGAGCGCAGUGACAGGUGGUGCAUGGCUGUCGUCAGCUCGUGUCGUGAGAUGUUGGGUUAAGUCCCGCAACGAGCGCAACCCACGUCUUUAGUUGCCAGCAUUUAGUUGGGCACUCUAGAGAGACCGCCGGUGAUAAACCGGAGGAAGGUGUGGAUGACGUCAAGUCAUCAUGCCCCUUACAUCCUGGGCUACACACGUACUACAAUGCUACGGACAAAGGGCAGCAAGUUCGCGAGGACAAGCAAAUCCCAUAAACCGUGGCUCAGUUCAGAUCGUAGGCUGCAACUCGCCUACGUGAAGGAGGAAUCGCUAGUAAUCGCAGGUCAGCAUACUGCGGUGAAUACGUUCCCGGGCCUUGUACACACCGCCCGUCACACCAUGGAAGUUGGCCACGCCCGAAGCCGUUACUCCAACCCUUGUGGAGGAGGACGUCGAAGGUGGGGCUGAUGACUGGGGUGAAGUCGUAACAAGGUAACC